GACCCGUCCCUCUGCUCACCAAAGCCUCACAGCCCACAGUUCCUUUCAAGGUGAAAAAAUUCAUGCACUGAGCUCUUAGUUUAGUAUAAUAUGUCUUUUAACAUCCAGAGUGUUUGCUAUAGUAUCAUUUUCAUUAAUCAUUUCUUAUCAAUCAAUCAUUUCAGCCUUUGACCCAAGCUAAAAUACAGGGAAUGAGGGAAGAAUGGUGUGCCAUGUGACCUAGACAGACCCGUCCUGGGAGCUCCGUGGAUCCUGUGUCAGGUUAGGUUGUUUCCCCUGUAUUCCCCCACCUACCUCCUUUUCUCUCUGAUUCUAAAUAACAAUGCCAUGUGCCUUUAAGUCAUUUGUGGAAUUGUUUUGUUCUACCCUUUGUCAGGAAUAUACCGAUAUGAGUAAAAUAAAAAGGAAUACAAUGCCAUUAAUCACACAGGGGCCUUUGCAAGCAUUUGACGUAGAACUGGAGACAGCUGGCCUUUGUGUGUCUGUGUGUGUAUGUAUGCCCUCCUCCACAGCGCUUACAGGAAGCAGUGGGGGUAAUUGAUGUUGUCUGCCACCCAUUCCCGUGUGACUCACCAGCCCGCGCUGCUGCCUCACCAGCAACGUCUUCCUGGAGUGGCACAGUCUCUCCUACAGGAUCAGGACAGUCUGGGGAGCAGGCAGAGAGGAUGACGAACACAGACUCGCCGUAGGAGGACACCAUAAUCACCAUCACCUGCAUGACCUUGAUGUCGAAACUGAUUUUGGAUCAUGAAAAAAAGGACAGUUUUGCCUUGGAGUAUUGAUAUCACAAAACCAAACAACUCCCCUCAUCUUGACUAAAAUGAUUCAAGAACCUUCUAUACCUCAGAAAUAGAAACAGCAAUGACUCAGGCUCAAGGUGGUGCGAUUCAGUAUAGCUGGAUGCCUGCAAGGCGGACUCACCCUCCAGGGUCCGUCUUCACAUUGGAAGUGCUCAUGUGUCCCACAUCUGCUGCAUCCAAGGCCAGUGAAGCCCAGGGUGCAGCCCCGGGGGAGUGGGAAGAUACAAGGUGAAAAGACUCAGUUUCUGUCUUCAGGGAAUUAACAGUCUAAUAUGAAGAGGAAAAAAUAUAUAUAUAAAUAAACACAAUACAGGAAAGCAUAUGAAUGAUGUCUUAAGAAAGCUUUUCACCAAAGUGCUUUAGAAAUCAAGAGAAGGAAAUGGUAUUUGCAUCCAAGGUAUGUCCUUCAGGUGCAUCGCAGAAAUCCUUCAUUUUGCAAAGUCAGCUGCAGUACAUGUUGAUACCCUAUGACCCUAAACCCAACCUGAUUCUAAUGCUUUCCUGUGAGUGACUUUGAGUUGAAAAACUGAAGUCGUUUACCAGUAUAGCUUAUUCUUCAUCCAGGUCCCUUCUUCCCUGCAUUUGGCUGGGUGUCCCUGAAGGUCACUUGGAUGUCUGGGCCAGCGUGGCAGCAUGCCUUCUCCUGGGGAACCAGGCCAUCUUGUGGCCAUUUCUGUAGGGCCUGGAUUCUGACGAUGGCACCUGGAUGUGACUACCACCUACCUUGAAUGGAGACAGGCUUCUCCAGAAAAGAACCUUGUCUCAACUUCAUCUGCAGCACUGGGCUGCCUUCACCUUUUCCUAAGCAGAUUACAAAUACAAGAUGCCUGAAAAAAAGAUUCAGAAAUGGGGACCACAAAAAACAAAAUAAACAACAGAAAACAAGCAAGACAAUACAAGACAAAUCUGUGGUUGUUUCUUGAAUGAAGCAUGUUUUUAUUUCUGGAUUAUGGCUCAAUCUCUUAAUUUAAGAGAUUUAAAAAAAUGAAUCUCUUUGUUGUAAGGGUAAAGAGAAUUUCCCAUAUAAAAUAAAACGAAAGGCUCAGAUUAAAGAAAGCAACAUUACCAGCUCGCUUUCUCCCAUUGGCCACACCACCGACAUCUUUGUGCCUCGGGAUCUCAGACGGAACUUCUGAAAACUCAUCUUCUCAAGUCCUGCUUCUGCAGUGAGGGCACGUCAGCCUCCUGCCCUGGGUAUAAUCACUUUGAUUUUCUCACAAGAUCUGGCAGAACUGACGUAGCCCCAGUGCCUUCCACAAACAACUCCCUUUACAACAGACCAGCUGCGCUUUUCAUUUCGUCCCGCUCUUGCAUUUCCCUCUGAUCCUUGAACGUAGACUGGCCUGUUUGGAGACCUGGCAUCUGUACUUUGAAAUCCAGGAGAGCAAAGGAGCCUUGAGAGCGUGACCAGGUGGUCUUCAAAGGAAUCAGGCUGAAUUUUGACUAACAGGAAGAUUUUUAAGACUUUGAAGCCUUGUGUAUCUACUGGGACUCGGAUUUUAAAAUGCCACAGUCAGUAGACAUCUUCUGAUCUCCAGAAGCACAUAUUGUAAGUUCUGGGUCACUCACCUUCCCACGGCGUCCUGAGUUUUCCCAGAACCUUUGUUGCUCUUAGCAAGCCUUAAUGAAAACCACUUCCUCUGGACGUCUGCCCCUGUCUCCUGCUAGUUGCCGUCUUCCCAGCCAUCCUUGUACAGUGCUCCCGCCAGCCGCCACUGUCCCCACUGCUUCCUCUCUCUCCACCUGCUCUCUUUAUAACUUGACCUUCCUAAUCUUCUCUUCAGGGAGAAGAGCAGAGGUGGAGAAACACUCAUCUCAGUCAUGCAUCUUAGGGGGACUCCCAGUAGCUCUGAGUGCUUCAUUCAAGGAGGGCAUCAGUUUUGAUUUUCCCUCUUUCAGCAAAAUGCUUUACCCAGCAGCCUUUCCACAGGGCUCUGGCCACCAUGUAUCGCAGCUUGGGAGCUCUUUCUGAGUGGCCAGAGGAAGGCCCCUCCCCACGGAGUGAUGACCUUCUCUUUUGAAGCAAAUAUGUGCCUCUGACUCUCUGCAACCUUGAACUUUCCUUGUUGCCUUCUUUGGCCAGCCUGCAGCUCGAGCAUCUGAAUAUGGAUGUGUAUACAGGUUCUGCUCAUUGCCCUGCAGCCCACCUUUACCCCAGGUAGGAGCAGUGAUAAUGGUGUUGAGAGAAAGAGUGAGAGCUCUGGGGUGACUGCCUGAGGGAACCGUGGAUUACUAGCUGUGUGACUUGGAGCACGUUAAUUACUGGCUCUGAGCCUCACCUUCCUCCUCUGCAAAAUGGGAGUAACAGCAGAAGCUACUCGUAGGUCAUUGAAAGGGUUAUUCGGGAUAGUACACAUGAAGAGCUUAAAACAGUCCAUGGCAUACAGUAAGUGGUCAAAAAAUGUUAGCUGGUAGUCAAAAUAAAAGUAGAGGGAGACUUAAUUGCAUUAAAAAAACCACUCAAGUUUGCUAACUCCCAGUCCAUCUUAGAGAGGCAUGCUGUCAUCAUCGUCCAAAUCUCAUUCUUGCCCCACCAGGUAAGAACCCAGAGCUCUGUCCUGCCUUCCUCUACCUGUGAAGUAGACAUGUGAGUGCCUUCGCCUUCUCCCUUCCUCCAGGUGCCCAUGGCAGGAUAGGCAGUAUAUGCAACACCAGGAUCCCUUAAACCUUCACUUGCACAGGAAUCUCCUGCAAGUCUUAGGAAAAUACAGAUUAUGACCAUGUAGGUCUCAGGUGGGGCCUGAGACUCUGAAUUUCUCUCACAAGUAGGUGCUGCUGCUGCUUCUGGUCUGGGGACCACAUUUUGAAUAGCAAGAACCUAUACGAUGAUCUGACAGGGAGGAGGGAACCCAUCCAGAAUAUUGGGCAGAAAGGAAGGCCAGGGGUUCAGCUGUUCUGGUUUGGUGUGGUGUUUCAGGCUCCCACGCUUUCUUCUCCAGAAAUACAGAGAUUGACUCUCGCUGGGAGGUCCUGAAAUGGCUGUUACAUACUUCCUGUGGCCAAGAUCAUCGUAUUUUGCCUCAGUCUUUUUAUUUUAUUUUAAAGAUUCAUAUGUAUAUAUGUGGGAGUUACAGAAAAUAUCUAAAAAAGGACUCAAAUAUGCAUUUUGAAAGCAAAGGCAGUCCCAGUAAGUGCAAGUAAAAUGUAUUUCUGAAAAAUGAUUCUGAUAUGCAUUUUUUUUUUUUUUAAAAGUCAGUUUCCCCUGGCCCCAUUUUUAAGUUUUAGGAAUACAUGAUAAAAAGUUCUUUUGACUCUGGAUGAACCCUCAGUCCCUGACCCUGCAGACCAUGUGAGGACAAGUGGAAAGACCUUGGCAUGUGAAGCUUUAUUGCAAUUUGUAUUAUUACUAGAAGAGCCGUAGGCCAGGAGGGUAUCUGGAUUCUUGUUUGAGAACUUGAGGGUAUGUGCUAACCUUAUUUAUGUUGUAAUGUCAAUGAUUCCUUGACUUAUGAGGGGAACGUUCCCUUAGUCAACUUCCGUGAAUGCAAGUUAUACAUGUUACCUAAUUUUUUUGUUUUCUGGGAAAAGCCCAUGGCUCCCACUAAGCUGAUAAGCUCUUUUGGUAUGUACAUGACUUUUCCCUUCUAUGUCUAAAUCUUUGAAUUUGCUAGGAUCUUAAGAAGUGUAACUUCAUACACUUUAAAAUCCUUAUAUCUUUUUAUAUUCUUAGGACCAUAUAACACACAUCCUAUCUUUAGGUAAAGAUACCUAAAGUUAUAUCCUAUUGGAUUUUGCAUAUUUUCUAAGGCUUUGUCUGAUUUGAGACCAGAAUUCUUUGGAUCACUCUAUUAUUAUCCCUCUGUGAGUUAAAAACUGCCUUUUAAUUGAUGUAUUUACAUUUAUAAUUUCUGUUCAUUGUUGAAUCAAUUACAUAAACAUGAUUAGGACUCAACAGAAAGACACUGGAGUAUUUACUUCUUUCAGAAUGUUUUAUGUUAAUUCUUUUUCACUUUGUGUAUAACAAGUAUCUUUCUACACACUUUGUUCCUCAGACCUCUUUGAGAAUCUGCUACACUACUGACACUCUCUCUAGAAAAAUCUACACAUACAUGCCAUUUUGUCCUGGUUCUUAAUCAUUGGUUAUUACUGGAUCACAUAAAAAAAUUAUUUUGUUGUUGUUGUUAAUCCUCACCCAAGGAUAUUUUUCCAUUGAUUUUUAGGAAGAGUGGAAGGGAGAGGGAAA